AUGGGCGACAGCGACUGCGGCCGCGCAGAAGAAUGCUCCGUGGAAGCAGGCGAAGUUGACGCUGCCACCCGUCGGCCACGGCCAAGAGAAAAAAGUGGCGGACGCGACGACCCAUGCAUUGCUGCUGAUGCGUCGUCGUCAGAGGAGGAGAAACGCGGGGACAAGGAGGACGAACUCAUGACGAGAGCAGAAGAGUUCAUCCAGAGGAUGAACAGAGUGUGGAGGACGGAGAGUUUACUUGUUUGCUGA
rnacentral:rRNA from 1 species